CCUUUUCUCCACUUUUACCUUUGCCUUCAAAGUACUAUGCUACAAAAUCAGUACAAUGAAAUUCCCAAAAAGAAUCCAUAAAAUAUAAGCAUUUUAAAGGUGGUUUUUUGUUUAUAUAUAUAUAUAUAUAUAUAUACAUAUCUGUGUGGCCAUCUCUUAUCUCUUCUUAGUGGUUACUCUUACCCAUUUCAAAGAACCCAGCUUCCCCCUCCCCAAUUCCUUUUUAUUUCAAGAUUUGCACAAAGGGCGAAAAGAGGCUCGACAAGCAUUGUUAGAAGUACAAAAUCGACAAGCAAUUUUGAAGCAUCAAGGUGAAUUUAUUUUUUAGCCUAAGACAGUCCAAAUUAUGUGUAUUAAUUCAUAAUAUAAUUAAUUUUAAUUUUAAUCCAAUUUAAUUUGGGUUAAAUAAAUUAUUAUUAAUUAAUUAUGAAAAGUGGCCCAGUUGAGCUGAAUCAAAAAAACCAAUCCAACCAAGCACUGGGCAGCUCAAAACCGUCCCACAUGCUGACCCAAUCAGCUUGUUUGGCUGAUUGUUUGGCUUGCAAAAUGGCCCUUGAAGACUCCUUCAAUUUGCAUUCAAACCCCUCCACUAUUCAUGCCUUUUAAGAUUUGGCCCUACCUAAAAAUAGCAUGUUUGAAAUCUUCAAACAUGCCACAUGUGUGGCUGGCCAUGGGGGAGUCUUUGGCUGCUAAUUUUGGCUAUUUUUAGCAGCCUUAUCGACCUAUAAAUACCCCUUUGGGUGCUCACUUCAAACACAUCUCAAAACCAUUCAUUAUUCACUUUUCUCUCUUCAUUAUUCUUCAUUUUCUUCCCCAUUGCCUUACCGAUUUCACCUCUUGAAAAAGAGUCAUUCAACCACCAUUUGGAGUAGCAUUCAAGUGUUCGUGGAAGCCUCGAUUCAACAAGAACAAGCAUAGAAGAAGGAGCAGAGCAAACUAGUCAAGCCUCAGAGAAACACUGGAUUUGAUUCUUGUUUCUUAUCCUUUUAAUUUAAUUAUUGUUGUUAUGAACAUAUCUAUGAAUAUUUAUGAUGUUGAUAUGUUUAAUUUAAUUAAUAUGGCUUAAAUUUAA